rnacentral:lncRNA from 1 species
AUGGAACAACUUUUACACAACAUGUAUGGCACGAUCCGGUACAAAGCAUGGAUAUUGGAAAAAUGCUAAAAAUUGGUUGAUAAAGAAUAUUGAGGGCCAAUACAAAGAAUAAAAAUAACUUUUUAUUAGGUUUGGAUAUCAAAGAAAAACAAAACAGGAAAAACUCAAAUACUCCUUGGUGUUGGUCUCUAGUUGCAAUAAACUUUUUUGGUGAAGAUUGUUUUAAUCGCAGUUAGGUAUUAGGUCCAAAUCAAAUUUCAAUUUAAUGCAUACAUGCAACAUUUCAUCAACAUAACUGCCAAUUCAAAUGGUUAUUGAGUUUUUUCCCUAAAGAUGGUAAUCCUCAAGAUAACGAAGUUUAAGAUCGUCCAUCGUUUCAGAUUCUCCGUUUACCUACAUUGCCAAUCACUUAGCUUAGAAAAUUUUGUAGAAUGCUAUAACAAAUUUUUCUAAGCUUCAAAUUGUGCAACAUUUAAUAGUCAUGAGAAAUAUGGACAAUUAUUAAAAUUCAUGAGAGAUAACCAAAUUUUGUUAAAACUAACGAAAAUAUAUAAUAUUUUUAGAAAAAAAUAUAUAAAGCAGAAAAUAGAAGACCAACCAUAAGUUGAACCAAUAUAAGGCAUUUGAACAUAAGAACAAAGGUUACAUGAAAGGAGGCAAACUAUCAAGACAAAACACAACAUAAAUGGACAAAGAUAUUGCAUGAUUCAUAUUGUAGUAUUCCCAUUUAAAUAUGUAUGAGGCUCUCACAAUCCAAUAAAAGCAACACAUAAAUUGCAUCAGCAUGUAAUAAAAGGUUCAGGAACUUAUCAAACAAGAAUAUGAAAACAGUAAUCGACAAAAUCCAAACAAACCUGAGAAAAUGGUCAGCAAACACUUUAUAGUCUUGACCCCUUUAUAAUUUUGUCAUUCAACAAACAAAUAAAAGCUUACAUGAUUAUCUCUAGAGUAAAUUACACGAAUAGUCCCUAUGGUUUAGGGUAAUUUGAGCGUUUGGUCCCUAACUUAUUUUUUUAACUCGGAAGAUCCCUAUUGUUUGUUUUUGUUACACGCUUGGUCCCUGUCUUACCUAAAAAUACUAUUUUUCCCUUGAUUUUUUGAUUUAUUUAAAUAAACACACCCCCAAUCCCACCGUCCUCACCUUACCUUACCUACCUCACCAUUUUUUCCUACUUAAAUAAUAGUCUUUUUACGUAAGAUAGGGAUCAAACGUGUAACAAAAAUAAAUAGUAGAGACCAAGCGCGUAACAAAAACAAACAAUAGGGACCUUCCGAGUUAAAAAAAUUAGUUAGGGACCAAACGUGCAAAUUACUCCAAACCAUAGGGACCAUUCGUGUAAUUUACUCUUAUCUCUAUUUAUUUGCCUGCAAUUCAACAGAUCGAAAAGCUAAUCUGAAUGUAAACAUAACAAUAGAAACUAUUUAUUUGUAUAUAACAUUAAAAUUCCCAAUACAACAAUAAGCCAAGAAAAAACCAACAUCAGGAGAAUGUGAACAAUCCAUACCUGAAACAACUUGAAAAAAAAGGCAUGUGAGUGAUAAAAUCCAACAUAUAACAGGGCUAAUCUCACCCCGGUUCCUUUUCUGUCCCAGAAAGAAAUUAAGAUACUAAAUCUAAUUCUCAAUUUGCUCCCUGAAAAAAUUAACAAAACAAAUAAUAAGAAUUUUUAUUUUCAAUGGAGUUAGGGCUUACACUUGAAUAUGAGGGGAAACAGAGGAAAUCAUUUGGCAACAAAAGGAGAGUUUCAGGGUGUGGAGACAUGUUCUCAUUAUCACCCGAUUCUUUGAUCAUCGUGUUCAACUUUAGAAUUGGAGUAGAUGAAUCAUCUCCCAAAUGUUCUUACACAGAAACAAAUUGAAAGCAAAUAAAACACAAAUAGUUAGGCAAACUAAUAGAAAAGGAAAGAGAACUAAGAGGUUGAAGCAGACUAUCGUACACAUUCUUUGAAUGAGAGGAAGGCAUAGUCAAAAAUACAAAAAGAAGAUGAAGUAGAGGAACUUGAAAAAUCAAAAACUAAAAAGAAACUUGAAAUCGACAACAACAAAGUUAUAUAUAUAUAUAUAUANNNNNNNNNNNNNNNNNNNNNNNNNNNNNNNNNNNNNNNNNNNNNNNNNNNNNNNGAGAGAGAGAGAGAGAGAACAUGGGUGAUGAGGGCGGCAAAUUUGUGGUGGUAAGCUGCUUGUGUGAUGGACGUUGGUAAACCUGCAAGUCUGCAACGAUUACAAAAUAUAAUCUUGUUAACUUGCACAUGAAAACAGAUGCAACUGACAACGGCUAGAGAAGGCAGAUUUGACAAUUGACAAUGGCUAUGUUUUGUGGUCUAGGUUUUUCACAUAUGUAAGGUUGAAUAAGGAUCAGCAUUUGAGUGAGUACAUGACAAUUAAUGGAGGAAGGGAUGUUCGAUGACCUUCUAUAGGUUGCAGCUACGGCGGAAGGAGGGUGGUGGUAUCGAAGGUCCAUUGGAAACUGAAGUGAGUAAGGAGAGAGAUAGAAGAGAUGUGGGUUUGACGGCGUCUAAUGUUGUGUCGAUAAGGUUAGGAUUAAGAUAGGGUAAAGAUACCAUGAGUUACAAGGUAUGAUCAUGUUGUAAUAGAGGAAAUAUGUUUAAUAAUAUAGUAAAGAUUUUUCAUGACUUUAUCAUCUUUGUAGAGCAAGAUAUGCUUUCAAUACUUGUAAAAUAAUUUUCUGGAAUAAAUUUUUUCUAGCACCUUAUUAGUUGUUUUGAAUUAUUCUUCGUUUCAUAUAUCUCAGUCUUAUUAUUUAAAUUUAUUUAUCCUACUUUAUAUCUUUUUAUUGUGCG